GCCAAAGUGAUUGAGGAGCCACAACGAUUCUAGGACAAGAACAAGAAAUGGGGAUGUCAUAGCUUCCUAAGGCAUUAUGCUGGAGAAACUUCAACGGGAAAUGCGAUCAAACGGCCGCAUGGAGGCAGUCGAAAUCCAACUAAUGUCGUAUAUCGGAUUGAGCAGAACUAAACUAGCACCGUUCGUGCUGCUGAAAUGGAGGAGGAAAUCC
rnacentral:lncRNA from 1 species